UCUGGGGUGGCUCAAUCGGUAGAAACGAGACUCCUAAUCUCAGGGUUGUGGGUUUGAGCCCCACAUUGAGAA